UUUCACGUGUACCAUAAAGCCCCAGAGUCGCCCACACAGAAAUCCGAUGACGCGCCAUUGUAGAUCUUCACCGAUAGUAUGAGAGAUGGGUCCCAGGAUUCACGCAACGACAAAUCCCACACCCAUAGCGCGACAAGACACGACACGAAGAGACACGACAGGACGGAACGCGACACGACACGCACUUUAACCGGAAUAGAUAGCAGCCAAGUAAAGGCAGUAGGCAGCAGCAAGAGGAUCCUGGUCUGUACACAUGUAUAUAGGUAUACGGAGUAAAGCACUUUGGCACGCUUCUUUUGGAACGCUACAUGGACUUCUUUCUGGCUAAUCAUAAUUUAUUGGACGUCUACUAGUCGCUAAGCCAAUCCCGAUGCUUUGCGUGUGCUUACGGACGCUUGGAGAAAAAUAUAAAACCGACGUUUAACGUUCGUGACAUGCAGGGGGUAGAGAUUACGAGAUUGAGGAAAAGUGAAAUGAGCAGCUAGGGAAACCUAACCUGCUUCAGAUCAAAGGGAAUAUUCAUGGUUGACAAUGGUGGUGCUCUGAGAAAGGAGUUCGACGAUUCAGCAAUGAAACCAACUGGCGCGGAGGAAUCUGUUUAAAACACGUUGCUGUAGAACUACCCCUCGAAGGGAGGUCCUCCGGAAGGCUGCGUCGAUCUUCGCGUUAGACUCGAUUCGCCGGCCGUGGCAAGGAGGGUAGUUUCUAGAUAAGCAAAAAACCUUCCAUUCAACCUGAGUCGGGGCUUUAUCUUUCCGAGGAUUCAAGAGGAUUGAGAAGAGGGUAGUGCGGAUAUCCAGAGAUCCAGAAUAAUGAAAUGCACUGAAAAUAAGCGUGGACUAGUACGGAAGACGGAAGAUGGCGGGAGAGCGUUCUUACGGCGCAAACGGACGUAAAAGAAACCGAACGGCGUAGUAACAAUGUGUUCGCAACAACAAUAGCUGUUUACUGUCUCCAUUCGAGACGCGACAAUAGGUGGCCGCUCCGCUGUCAGUUUUUGUCAAUUGUUGUCCCUCAAGGGGGCGACAGUGGCGACGCCGUUGGUACUGUCGCCCAU